AUUGAACGCUGGCGGCAUGCCUUACACAUGCAAGUCGAACGGCAGCACGGACUUCGGUCUGGUGGCGAGUGGCGAACGGGUGAGUAAUGUAUCGGAACGUACCUUUCAGUGGGGGAUAACGUAGCGAAAGUUACGCUAAUACCGCAUAUUCUGUGAGCAGGAAAGCAGGGGAUCGAAAGACCUUGCGCUGAUUGAGCGGCCGAUAUCAGAUUAGCUAGUUGGUGGGGUAAAGGCCUACCAAGGCGACGAUCUGUAGCGGGUCUGAGAGGAUGAUCCGCCACACUGGAACUGAGACACGGUCCAGACUCCUACGGGAGGCAGCAGUGGGGAAUUUUGGACAAUGGGGGCAACCCUGAUCCAGCCAUGCCGCGUGAGUGAAGAAGGCCUUCGGGUUGUAAAGCUCUUUCGGCCGGGAAGAAAUCGCAUAGGCUAAUACCCUGUGUGGAUGACGGUACCGGAAGAAGAAGCACCGGCUAACUACGUG
rnacentral:rRNA from 1 species